AUAAAAAACCAACGACCGCAUUCGGGGCUCCGUGUGAGUGAAUGCAUUAAUAACUAAGCGAAUUCGUCAUGGCCUUGACGCCGGCGAUGGUUCAUUCAAAUUUCUGCCCUAUCAACUUUCGAUGGUAGGAUAGUGGCCUACCAUGGUGGCAACGGGUAACGGGGAAUUAGGGUUCGAUUCCGGAGAGGGAACCUGAGAAACGGCUACCACAUCCAAGGAAGGCAGCAGGCGCGCAAAUUACCCAGUCCCGACACAGGGAGGUAAUGACAAUAAAUACUGAUACGGGGCUCUUUUGGGUCUCGUAAUUGGAAUGAGUACAAUCUAAAUCCCUUAACGAGGAACAAUUGGAGGGCAAGUCUGGUGCCCGCAGCCGCGGUAAUUCCAGCUCCAGAUAGCGUAUAUUAAAGUUGUUGCAGUUAAAAAGCUCGUAGUUGAACCUUGGGUCUGGCUGGCCGGUCCGCCUCACCGCGAGUACUGGUACGGCUGGACCUUUCCUUCUGGGGAACCUCAUGGCCUUCACUGGCUGUGGGGGGAACCAGGACUUGUACAAUCCAUAUGACUCGUAUAU
rnacentral:rRNA from 1 species